rnacentral:rRNA from 1 species
UGGAUCCAGCGGCGAACGGGUGAGUAACACGUGGGCAACCUGCCCCUCAGACUGGGAGAACAUCGAGAAAUCGGUGCAAAUACCGGAUAAUUUUCGGGAUCGCAUGAUCCCGUUAUAAAAGAUGGCUUCGGCUAUCACUGGGGGAUGGGCCCGCGGCGCAUUAGCUAGUUGGUGAGGUAGAGGCUCACCAAGGCGACGAUGCGUAGCCGACCUGAGAGGGUGAUCGGCCACACUGGGACUG